rnacentral:rRNA from 1 species
UAGCGUAGGGGGCAAGCGUUAAUCGGAAUUACUGGGCGUAAAGCGUGCGCAGGCGGUGAUGUAAGACAGUUGGUGAAACUCCCGGGCUCAACCUGGGAACUGCAUCUGUGACUGCAUCGGCUGGAGUACGGUAGAGGGGUGGAAUUCCGCGUGUAGAGUGAAAGCGUAGAUAUGACGGAGACACCGAUGGCGAGCAUCCCUGG